GACGAACGCUGGCGGCGUGCUUAACACAUGCAAGUCGAACGGAAAGGCCCUGCUUUUGUGGGGUGCUCGAGUGGCGAACGGGUGAGUAACACGUGAGUAACCUGCCCUUGACUUUGGGAUAACUUAAGGAAACUGGGGCUAAUACCGGAUAGGAGCUACUGCUGCAUGGUGGGGGUUGGACAGUUUCGGCGGUUGGGGAUGGACGCGCGGCUUAUCAGCUUGUUGGUGGGGUAGUGGCUUACCAAGGCUUUGACGGGUAGCCGGCCUGAGAGGGUGACCGGCCACAUUGGGACUGAGAUACGGCCCAGACUCCUACGGGAGGCAGCAGUGGGGAAUAUUGCACAAUGGGCGGAAGCCUGAUGCAGCAACGCCGCGUGCGGGAUGACGGCCUUCGGGUUGUAAACCGCUUUCGCCUGUGACGAAGCGUGAGUGACGGUAAUGGGUAAAGAAGCACCGGCUAACUACGUG
rnacentral:rRNA from 1 species